CUUUAGUAAACACUAGUAGCGUAGGUUUGAGAUGCAUACAUUAUGGCAUUAAGUGCUCAUCAGACUGAUACUGACAGGGAGAAUGCUAUUAAAACAGCACUUAGAGGCUUGAUAAUGGAAAAAAAUCAUGUUCAUUUGGCACUCUGUGUAUUUAAGCCAUUUAAUAGAUACACACAACACACACACACCACCUACACACAGCACAUACACACACAGACAAACGCUGUAAUAACAGACAGGGCUGAUAACACACAAUAGCAGUGGUUGCAGCGAGGAAAAUCUCCUCCCACACACGUGGGCCGUGAUGAACAAGCUGCCAGCAGUGUCUCUCAUCCCUACUGCCAGCAGGCCUCCAACGCAGAAGUGUGUUUGUCUUUGGUGCCAUGUGUUUCUGAACUACCAGUAGGCCGUGUGCGCACGAGUGUGUGUAUAGGAAAUACUGCCACAUCACUACAGGGACCCGAUAACAUCUAAUAACCAAUAUGUCUCGCAGCAGGAGUCAAGUAGAGCACUGAGUCGCUUCGAGUCUGCACCUCAGAAACAUAAAAGAUUCUGCGGGCUGCAUUGGCCCAACAACCAAGGGAGUGAGUCCUGGUCUCUGCAUUCCUUUACAGACAGCGGAAAGAGAAGCACAGGGGUCUCUGGGUCACUAUUUCAGGGUGAACCCACCCACUUUCCAGCCCAAGAGCGUGGAAAAAUCUGCUUUCAUGCACUUUGACAUCAACCAUGAACACGGCUCAAGAAACAAGAAGGGAAAGUGACUUCCAAGACUGGCAACACUGUGCAAAAAAGGAGCAGUACUGAAACUUGUAGGCCUACUAUUCGUUUUUACUCCACAUUUAGAAAAAUGUUAAAAGUAAAUAAGAUUGCUGUAUUGUUCAUUGAUAUCUGUUGAAUGCAUUUAAAAUGUUGACCUUUCAACAUUGCAAUUUUAAAAUUGCAAAAAAUAAAAGUUUUAAAACUCAGUAUGUUGCUUUCCUUUGCCAUAACAUAAUAACAAAAGUAUAUUUUUUUAAUUUAAUGACAAAUAUAAGUGCAGUAUGAAAAGCUGUAUAAAUGCAGUUAAUAGCUGUAGAUAAACAGUAUAAUGCUAUAAAAGUACAUAUUACAGCAGGAUACUGUAUUUGAUAAUUACAGUACUAUACUGUAAAUGUUUUCAGAAGUAGUACUGUAAAAAUACAGUAAGUGGCUGGCAACCCAGCUGCCAGUAUUUUACUGUAAAUUUACAGCGAAAAGUUUUACAGUGUUAAGUCCAGUAUAGGCAAUGGACAUACAAUUCUACUUAAAUGAAAAAAUUGUGUUUCAAGAAUUUUUCAAUAAUAG